rnacentral:rRNA from 1 species
GAUCAUGGCUCAGGAUGAACGCUGGCGGCGUGCCUAACACAUGCAAGUCGAACGGGGUUAAGUGAAAUUUCGGAUGGAACCUAACUUAGUGGCGGACGGGUGAGUAACGCGUGGAUAACCUGCCUCACACAGGGGGAUAGCAGCUGGAAACGGCUGGUAAUACCGCAUAAGACCACGGUGCCGCAUGGCACAGGGGUAAAAGAUUUAUCGGUGUGAGAUGGAUCCGCGUCUGAUUAGCCAGUUGGCGGGGUAACGGCCCACCAAAGCGACGAUCAGUAGCCGGCCUGAGAGGGUGAACGGCCACAUUGGGACUGAGACACGGCCCAAACUCCUACGGGAGGCAGCAGUGGGGAAUAUUGCACAAUGGGCGCAAGCCUGAUGCAGCAACGCCGCCGUGAGUGAAGAAGUAUUUCGGUAUGUAAAGCUCUAUCAGCAGGGAAGAAAGGCCCUUCGGGGAGAUGACGGUACCUGACUAAGAAGCCCCGGCUAACUACGUGCCAGCAGCUGC